UGCCCCAGUAACGGCGAGUGAAGCGGCAACAGCUCAAAUUUGAAAUCUGGCUCUCGGGCCCGAGUUGUAAUUUGUAGAGGAUGCUUUUGGUGAGGUGCCUUCCGAGUUCCCUGGAACGGGACGCCAUAGAGGGUGAGAGCCCCGUCUGGUUGGACACCGACCCUCUGUAAAGCUCCUUCGACGAGUCGAGUAGUUUGGGAAUGCUGCUCUAAAUGGGAGGUAUAUGUCUUCUAAAGCUAAAUACCGGCCAGAGACCGAUAGCGCACAAGUAGAGUGAUCGAAAGAUGAAAAGAACUUUGAAAAGAGAGUUAAAAAGUACGUGAAAUUGUUGAAAGGGAAGCGCUUGUGACCAGACUUGGGCUUGGUUGAUCAUCCGGGGUUCUCCCCGGUGCACUCUUCCGGCCCAGGCCAGCAUCAGUUCGCCCUGGGGGACAAAGGCUUCGGGAAUGUGGCUCUCUCCGGGGAGUGUUAUAGCCCGCUGCGUAAUACCCUGUGGCGGACUGAGGUUCGCGCAUUCGCAAGGAUGCUGGCGUAAUGGUCAUCAGUGACCCGUCUUGAAACACGGACCAAGGAGUCGUCUUCGUAUGCGAGUGUUCGGGUGUCAAACCCCUACGCGAAAUGAAAGUGAACGCAGGUGAGAGCUUCGGCGCAUCAUCGACCGAUCCUGAUGUUAUCGGAUGGAUUUGAGUAAGAGCAUACGGGGCCGGACCCGAAAGAAGGUGAACUAUGCCUGUGUAGGGUGAAGCCAGAGGAAACUCUGGUGGAGGCUCGCAGCGGUUCUGACGUGCAAAUCGAUCGUCAAACAUGGGCAUG
rnacentral:rRNA from 1 species